GACCACAGGUUAUUAUCCAGAUUUUUCUUCCUUCCCAAGAACAAUUUAUAGGGUUCAUUUUUCACUCUAUUUAUAUAUAUACUCAUCAUUAGCAGAAGAGGACCGGCGGCAGACCUAAGAGAACAACCCCAUCAGCACCUUCUUUUUCACAGAGGGAACAGAAGCAAGACACAGUAGAGAAAAAUACCUAACAGCGUUAAACCAACCAUCCCCGCCGCCCAACCUUUGUCAACCAAGGACCGUCGCCGGCUACAAACCAAAACCCGCCGGAACUCAACAACCAACCAGCCUAGCCACUCCUCCUCUGUCUUGAAGCAGCAGAACAGCAGUUGCACCUAACAUAUCCUCCCUUUACAUUUUUAGUCGCGACACAAACACAUACACACAAGCAUAAACAGAAGACCGGGAAGAACGGAUAGAGAAACUAAGGUUUGUUCGAUUGCUGUCCGCCGAGAUGGCCGCUGUUCAAGUUUUUCGGUGUUAAACAUUUUUAUAUAAAAAAUUACCUUAUUUUGAGGUUCGUCAUUGUUUUAUCCUCUAUUUAUCGACUUUUCUCUCAUAUAAGGGUUGAAUGAAUAUUUGCUGAGCUAUUUGUGGAAGAUCUGUCUUUAAUCAAAAUUUCAUUGUUUGCUGAGCUAGUUCACUUACUAGUUUAAUGCAAGAUUGAAUUAGAAUGUUUGAUAUUCAUUGGUUAAUAUUUACUUAGAUCUAUACGUUUAAAGUAGAUGUAGGCUUUUAAAGAAAAGAAGAAAUUCAAAAAAAAAAAAUAGUGAUUUGCUUUGGGGUUAAUUAACGUAAUUAAUUAAACUGACGUUGGUAUUCACGUUGGAGAAGGACGGAACCUGUUAGUAUUAAUUUAUCCAUAUGUUAUAGGAAAUGGUUUUGGGUCAAAUAUUUGAACAGAAGAACAUGAAUAUAGAUUGAGUUUUCCUUUUAUUUUAUUCUCUUUACUUACUUUAUUUGUUACAUUAUUCACUAGUACCAUGAUUAGGCAAACCACUUGAGUAAGUAAGCCUUAGGAUUUUUAUUAGUUAUAAGACGAGAGAUCGUCUUUAGUUAAAUUUAUUCGGGGAAUGUCUCAAAGAUUUUGUAUAUAUUAUUUGGGAUAUACCCCGAAAAACUAUGUAAAUAUUUUAAAGGCCUUGGCAAGCAUGGUGGAGAAGUAAUAAUACAAGUUAGCUUAGGAUUUUCCUUUUCUUUUCCUUUUCAUUUUCUUUCAUUAAGGUUGGGACGACCUUGAGCCUCUUGUCUGUUUAUUUUAUUUUUGUGUGUUUUACCUCAAUUUGAAUGUUUUAAAAGCCAACUAGAUCGAGUGUGCAACCUUACUAGUUACGAGACUUGGGGAGUGUCUAACAGCUUCUCCCCGAGUCAAAUGAACCUCCUUACUUGAAUCUCUGGUGUGGAUUUGAUAUUAGAGUCGGAAGUAUUUUAAAGGAAAAUCAUUUUUAAAAAAUGGUGACAUGACACACCUUAAUCAAUGUCAGGUGACGCUGAGUUAAUCAUUUUGAACAUAAGUUUUUGUCACUUUCUAAUUGAAAACUAUUUUCAAGCUUUACUCAAUUCUUUUAUUAAUUUCAAGAGGGUCGGUGGUAAAAAGGGGUGUGACAUCUUUGGCGACUCUGCUGGGGAGUUGCAGGUUCGAGCUAGUACUUGAUCUUGUUGGCUUUUAUGAUAUUAGGUUGAGGUUUUUAUGUGUUUUGUUUGCUUUAUUUGAUUUUUAUUUUUGUUUAUGUCUUUUAUUAUUUACUAGUUGCUUAUUUGUUUACAGUUUUUUCUUUAUGUGUUAUUGCUUUAUAAAUUGUCAUCAUUUGCAUAACCAUGAAUCUUCUUUCUGCAAUAAGUCUCGGAGUACGCGUUGUAUGCACGAACUCUUUGUUGAGUCACCCUUAAUUUAGGAGGGGGUGGAUCGUCGGACAUAUGGAGUGGGUGGAAAGCAUGAGCAGCCACCAUCGAUCAUCCCUCGAAUCGCCUUGUUAGUGAGCCCAAACUUAGGUCAACUUUUAGGUCAUUUUUAUUUGCAUCAUGUCAUUUAGACCUAGCAGAGCUCGGUCACAGGUACCGUGUCCCUUUGUUGGAAGCUCAUCCAAAUUUUAUCAAAAUGGACCUAUGGCCCAAAAAAGACAUUCAAUCAUCUCUGUAUGCUACAAGCUUCAUUCUUUAAGGGGUAAAAUGGUCAUUUGGCGGACCAAUGAUAGUUGAGGGCGAAUGAAACAAAGAGAGGAUGAUUUUUAAAAAGAAAGCAAGUAGGGCCCACUCGCACUUUUUCAUUAUUUUUCAAAAAUUCAAAAAAAUAAUUAAAAAAAAUCCGAAAAGAUUUUACACUUUUCCAUUAUUUUUUAAAAAUUCAAAAAGAUUUUACAUUUUUCAUUAUUUUCCAAAAAAAAAAGAAAAAGAAAAUCAAAAAAGAUUUUGCAUUUUCCAUCAUUUUUUUCAAAAAGACAAUAUAGUUUUUUCAAAUUAGAUGUAUUUCUUAAUUCUAUCCCAUAUUUAAUCUUGUUGAACUACGCAACUUAGUUCUCGUCUUUCGGGACAAGAUACGUAGGCAACCCACAUAAGGUUCAAUCUUUCUUAAUAAGCCUUAGGUUCUUGGCUUUGUGGGAUCUUAGCCAAAUUUUUCAUGUUUAGCCACUUUUGGCCACAUGGGCCAUUAUUGCAAAAUGGGGUUAUUUUCGUAAAAAUGGUUAAAUAACCCAUAUCUUAGGAUUUUGAGUCCAGAACUAGGUAUCAUAUUGCUUUAUGGUCCUUCAUUUCUGAGUUAGCAUCUUUAGCCACUUCUAGCCAUAUCAGUCGUUUUUUGCAAAAUGGGUCAUUUUUGCAAAUUAAUUUCGGGCCGUGAUUAUUGAGAGUUUGAAUCCAUAUAAGCCUUAGGGAGGUAUGUCCAUAUCUUAGAGGUUACAUUUGUUGAGUUUGCAUUAAUAGCCACCCUUGGCCACGUAGAUCAUUUUGCAAAAAUAGUCUUAAUCAUGCCUUGCACGUGUCCAAUAGAAGGCGUUGUGGCGUUUCAUGUGUCUUAAGUCACUAACUCUAUUUGAUCUUAUUUUUUUCCAUUCAGGUAUGGAUUAAUUUGCUAGAGUUUGAGCAUGACAAAUACCACAUGAUCAUUCUAAUAUGACCG
rnacentral:lncRNA from 1 species